GAAAAUGGUUGAAAUUUUGUUUUAAGAGUCAAGUUAGUGUGGUCAGUGUUUAUACCAUGGUCUUGGCUAUUCGGGAAUUUUGCAGCUGAAAUUUUGGCCACUUUGCUGAAUAGUCUUUCAUAUCUUCUUCUUCUUCGUUUUCGUUGGACAUUGGAUAUCAGCUCUGCGUCAGACCCGAUGUCAGGGAUGGCACAGCAGUGUUGCUAUAUUGCCAGCAAUUUUGUUUAUAGUCAAGGAGACUUUUCGACCAUAGAAGUUGCUAUUGCAGCAACUGAAGUAUAGAUUUUUGGAAACGCUGACGCAGUAUUUGUUUUGGUUGUGGGUGUUUGUUUAUUUAAAUUCCUUAAUCGUUCGUAUGGAGCUCUCAAUUUCUCAUCCUAUCGGUGUUAAUUCCAGCCUUGGCCAGCUGAUCAGCCGUCUCGUUACCAUGGAUUCCGGUAUGCCCAGGAAUCCAUUGGAUUAUUGUUCCAGAUGCCGCUGCCAUUUCCAGAAUCUGGUGGAUAACUCGCUAAAUUUGAAAUACUCAGAGCCCGGCUACCUUUUACUCAGACGUCGCCACAUGUAUGAAACAGCCGACGGCUGAUCUUAAUUAACUCAAAUAUCAGCGGAAAAUUUACUCAGACGUCAGAAAAUUCGGCACUCAGAGAACUCGAGUGCUGGAAGGCGACAACUGAGUAAAUGAUGAUCAGUUUGUGCGAGGCGGUCGGACUUGGUUGUUUUCGUGCAGCGAAAACUAAAAAAUGGUUUGGUGACGAAGGUGGUCCAAAUACAAUUGGCAUAACGGCAUAAUAUUACGGCAUAAUGGGUCCCGGGAGACGAAACCCGACGGGCGAAAAAAAAAUAUUUUUUUUUAAAAUAAAAUAUGUAUGCACAACAUUUGGACUUUUUAUUCAGCAAAUCAACAAAUCCAUCAUUUGUCUAAAAAAUAAUAUAGGUUUUAACUAUUCUAGCAUGGAAAAAGCGGCCAAAAACCGCUUCAGAAUUAUUCGCGCAUUCUGAGUAACCAUGGAUCAGUUGUCGCGAAAAGGGCUGUUAGUCAGUUCUGAGUAAAAGCCGUUUAGUCAGAACUGAGUAGGUGCGGUUUUGGCGACAACUGAGUAGCCGUCACUCUGAACUGAGUAGCUGAAAGUUAGCGAGAACCUUGUCUCGCUGCCCCUUGAUGAUGUUGUUCCUGAUUAGUUCGCAUCCGGAUCUUGAAUAUGUCAUGAUAACAACGUGCGUAAGUGAGCUUCUGAUGAUGUAUUGCAGCGCUGCGUAUAUAGCUUCCAAUUCCGCGGACAUAAUGCACACGGAAUUUCUCAGGCGUAGACAUAUUCUUAUGUUUCUUUCUGGAUGAUAUAUACCAAUUCCACAUGCUUCACCAUCGCUAGAGGCGUCAGUGUAGAUUAUUUGUUUAUGUGCAUAUUUGCCAUGUAUUAGAGACAAGGUGAGUUGUUUUAGUAUUCUCACAUCUGUUGUUUUUUUAGGCCACAACUCCUGGUUUAACGUUGUGCAUAUUUGCACAUAGUCAAACUGCUGUCUGCUACUAAUAAGCUCAGACAUAUGAUUCAGAACAUGGGUGUUGUUGAGAUAUAUUUCUUCCAUCAGCGAAGGCUUAUCGGUAUUCCUGCUCAAUUGGCAAAGUUGCUCCCAGAUUGGUGUUUUUCUAUAGCAAUGUUUUGCAAGUUGUCCAACAACCUUGAGCCUUCUUAAACGCAAUGGUGGUUGGGCAGCUAAUGCUUGCAGCGUGUUCAGGGGAGUUGUUCUUGUACAACCGGUAAUUUUUCUCAAGCAAUUAUUGUUAAUUCUAUCUAGUUUAGCUAAGUUUGUAGCACAAGCCGAUCCAUAAACGCUUGCUCCAUAUUCGAUGAAGCUUCUAAAAAUAGCAUUGUAAACCAGACCUAGAGUUCCUGGGUGACUCCCGUGUUUCAAUCCACUUAUUACUUUUAUCAUGUUUAGACGAUCUGUCACUUUGUUUUGAAGCUCACGGAUAUGAGGACCAAAUCUUAAUGUUUUGUCGAGCAAUACACCGAGAUACAUGUGUGUUCUGACAGUUUCAAUCUUGUCGCCUUGAAU